AUUAGGUGAAUCAUCGCAAUCUUUGAACGCACCUUGCGCCCUUUGGCUAUUCCGAAGGGCAUGCCUGUUUGAGUAUCAU
rnacentral:rRNA from 1 species